GCUUUCGUGGUGUAGUGGUCAGCACGCUGGGCGCGUAUUCCAGAGGUCCGUGGUUCGAGUCCUGGCGGAGACU
rnacentral:tRNA from 1 species